GAUGAACGCUGGCGGCGUGCCUAAUACAUGCAAGUCGAGCGAACAGACGAGGAGCUUGCUCCUCUGACGUUAGCGGCGGACGGGUGAGUAACACGUGGAUAACCUACCUAUAAGACUGGGAUAACUUCGGGAAACCGGAGCUAAUACCGGAUAAUAUAUUGAACCGCAUGGUUCAAUAGUGAAAGACGGUUUUGCUGUCACUUAUAGAUGGAUCCGCGCCGCAUUAGCUAGUUGGUAAGGUAACGGCUUACCAAGGCAACGAUGCGUAGCCGACCUGAGAGGGUGAUCGGCCACACUGGAACUGGGCCACGGUCCAGACUCCUACGGGAGGCAGCAGUAGGGAAUCUUCCGCAAAGGGCGAAAGCCUGACGGAGCAACGCCGCGUGAGUGAUGAAGGUCUUCGGAUCGUAAAACUCUGUUAUUAGGGAAGAACAAAUGUGUAAGUAACUAUGCACGUCUUGACGGUACCUAAUCAGAAAGCCACGGCUAACUACGUG
rnacentral:rRNA from 1 species